rnacentral:rRNA from 1 species
AACGAACGCUGGCGGCAGGCUUAACACAUGCAAGUCGAACGAGAUCUUCGGAUCUAGUGGCAGACGGGUGAGGAACACGUGGGAACAUCCCUUUCAGUUCGGAAUAACGUUGGGAAACUAACGCUAAUACCGGAUACGUCCUUCGGGAGAAAGAUUUAUCGCUGAAAGAUUGGCCCGCGUCUGAUUAGCUAGUUGGUGAGGUAAUGGCUCACCAAGGCUACGAUCAGUAGCUGAUCUGAGAGGAUGAUCAGCCACAUUGGGACUGAGACACGGCCCAAACUCCUACGGGAGGCAGCAGUGGGGAAUAUUGGACAAUGGGUGCAAGCCUGAUCCAGCCAUGCCGCGUGAGUGAUGAAGGCCUUCGGGUUGUAAAGCUCUGUCCUCAAGGAAGAUAAUGACGGUACUUGAGGAGGAAGCCCCGGCUAACUACGUGCCAGCCGCCGCAGUAA